AGAUGCGAUAAUAUUCAUGGUGCUACAUGUGCAAAAAGAAUGGAGAAUCGAUAGAUCAUUUGCUUUUAUAUUGUGAAGUGGCGGGGGAACUAUGGGCUGGUAUCCUUGAUAGAGCUGGACUGAGUUGGGUAAUGCCUAAGAGUGUAGUGGAAUUACUAGUGUGCUGGAACAGGAGGCAUAACAGUGCACAAUUGGCAGCAGCGUGGCGUAUGAUACCUUUGUCAUCAAUGUGGUGUCUAUGGUUAGAAAGGAAUGAUAGGUGUUUUAACAACAAGGAGCGUGCAGUGGGAGAAAUCUGGAAUUUUUUUGUAUUCUCUCUUUUACAGUGGUUUUCUGCUAUUGUAUUGAAGGGUGGGAGUGUCCAUGAGUUUCUAUCCUCUUUUCAGCUCACUAGAAUGUAAUUAGGUGUCUCACUUUGUAUACUUCCUGUGUACUUGGGCAUUUGCCUAGUUUCAUUCUAUUCAAUAAAUCUAUCUAUUUACUUAUAAAAAAAAAAAAAAAA